rnacentral:lncRNA from 1 species
AUCGCGCUGGGGUCUGUAGUCUGAGCGCUACCCGGUUGCUGCUGCCCAAGGACCGCGGAGUCGGACGCAGGUAGGAGAGCGGCCGCGCAGACCUCUCGCCUGCUCCUGCCCAGGGGCCCGCCAGGGCCAUGUGAGCUUGAGGUUCCCCUGGAGUCUCAGCCGGAGACAACAGAAGAACCGCUUACUGAAACUCCUUGGGGGUUCUGAUACACUAGGGGGAGUUUUAUGGGAAAGAGGAAGCAGUAAUUGCAGUGACGCCCCGUUAGAAGGGGCUUUCUACCUCCCCAGCAUUCCCCCAAAGCAGGGACCACACCAUUCUUGACCCAGCUCCACCCCUGUCGGCAGACCAUGUGGACCCUGGUGAGCUGGGUGGCCUUAACAGCAGGGCUGGUGGCUGGAACGCGGUGCCCAGAUGGUCAGUUCUGCCCUGUGGCCUGCUGCCUGGACCCCGGAGGAGCCAGCUACAGCUGCUGCCGUCCCCUUCUGGACAAAUGGCCCACAACACUGAGCAGGCAUCUGGGUGGCCCCUGCCAGG